UACGGAGGGUGCAAGCGUUAUCCGGAUUCACUGGGUUUAAAGGGCGCGUAGGCGGCUUGGCAAGUGGAUGGUGAAAUCCCUCGGCUUAACCGAGGAACUGCCGUCCAAACUGCUUCGCUUGAGACCGGGAGAGGUGAGUGGAAUUCCCAGUGUAGCGGUGAAAUGCGUAGAUAUUGGGAGGAACACCAGUGGCGAAGGCGGCUCACUGGACCGGUACUGACGCUGAUGCGCGAAAGCGUGGGGAGCAAACGGG
rnacentral:rRNA from 1 species